rnacentral:rRNA from 1 species
UUUAUGGGGUGACUGCGUACCUUUUGUAUAAUGGGUCAGCGACUUAUAUUCUGUAGCAAGGUUAACCGAAUAGGGGAGCCGAAGGGAAACCGAGUCUUAACUGGGCGUUAAGUUGCAGGGUAUAGACCCGAAACCCGGUGAUCUAGCCAUGGGCAGGUUGAAGGUUGGGUAACACUAACUGGAGGACCGAACCGACUAAUGUUGAAAAAUUAGCGGAUGACUUGUGGCUGGGGGUGAAAGGCCAAUCAAACCGGGAGAUAGCUGGUUCUCCCCGAAAGCUAUUUAGGUAGCGCCUCGUGAAUUCAUCUCCGGGGGUAGAGCACUGUUUCGGCAAGGGGGUCAUCCCGACUUACCAACCCGAUGCAAACUGCGAAUACCGGAGAAUGUUAUCACGGGAGACACACGGCGGGUGCUAACGUCCGUCGUGAAGAGGGAAACAACCCAGACCGCCAGCUAAGGUCCCAAAGUCAUGGUUAAGUGGGAAACGAUGUGGGAAGGCCCAGACAGCCAGGAUGUUGGCUUAGAAGCAGCCAUCAUUUAAAGAAAGCGUAAUAGCUCACUGGUCGAGUCGGCCUGCGCGGAAGAUGUAACGGGGCUAAACCAUGCACCGAAGCUGCGGCAGCGACACUAUGUGUUGUUGGGUAGGGGAGCGUUCUGUAAGCCUGCGAAGGUGUACUGUGAGGUAUGCUGGAGGUAUCAGAAGUGCGAAUGCUGACAUAAGUAACGAUAAAGCGGGUGAAAAGCCCGCUCGCCGGAAGACCAAGGGUUCCUGUCCAACGUUAAUCGGGGCAGGGUGAGUCGACCCCUAAGGCGAGGCCGAAAGGCGUAGUCGAUGGGAAACAGGUUAAUAUUCCUGUACUUGGUGUUACUGCGAAGGGGGGACGGAGAAGGCUAUGUUGGCCGGGCGACGGUUGUCCCGGUUUAAGCGUGUAGGCUGGUUUUCCAGGCAAAUCCGGAAAAUCAAGGCUGAGGCGUGAUGACGAGGCACUACGGUGCUGAAGCAACAAAUGCCCUGCUUCCAGGAAAAGCCUCUAAGCAUCAGGUAACAUCAAAUCGUACCCCAAACCGACACAGGUGGUCAGGUAGAGAAUACCAAGGCGCUUGAGAGAACUCGGGUGAAGGAACUAGGCAAAAUGGUGCCGUAACUUCGGGAGAAGGCACGCUGAUAUGUAGGUGAAGUCCCUCGCGGAUGGAGCUGAAAUCAGUCGAAGAUACCAGCUGGCUGCAACUGUUUAUUAAAAACACAGCACUGUGCAAACACGAAAGU